rnacentral:rRNA from 1 species
CAGUAGCCGCGGGAAUACAGAGGGUGCAAGCGUUAAUCGGAUUUACUGGGCGUAAAGGGCGCGUAGGUGGUUAUGUAAGUGAGAUGUGAAAUCCCCGGGCUCAACCUGGGAACUGCAUCUUAUACUGCGUAGCUGGAGUGCAGUAGAGGGUAGUGGAAUUCCGCGUGUAGCAGUGAAAUGCGUAGAUAUGCGGAGGAACACCGAUGGCGAAGGCAAUCCCCUGGGCCUGCACUGACGCUCAUGCACGAAAGCGUGGGGAGCAAACAGGAUUAGAUACCCCCGUAGUCCCUGUCUCUUAUAA